GGAUAUGAUGAUUCUUAUUGUCGCCCCAGUCUUAAUUUGCACCAUAAGGUGUAAGAUGGUGAUUGACCUUUUUAUCUGAUCC
rfam:Lupinus angustifolius cultivar Tanjil chromosome LG12, whole genome shotgun sequence.